rnacentral:tRNA from 1 species
GCGGACGUAGCUCAGUUGGUAGAGCAUGAGCCUUCCAAGCUCAGGGUCGCGAGUUCGAAUCUCGUCGUCCGCUCCA